UGCUGGCGCGAGACCGUGCGCGCGAGUUUGAGGAGGUCCACGGGCACCACGGCCCCGGGACAGCGCUUCUCCAGGAACUCUUGGAAGCCCUGGACGCCCAUGCUUCGUCGGUGGGCAGACGAGACGGCGGCUGCGCGAGCAGCCGAUCUUCACCGCUUCAAAAGGGGUGAAGCCUCUUCCUUCCACCUCCGGGAGCCAUGUUGCCUCGUCUUCUCUAUGCACCCUUUCUCUACUUUAUCCUCAUGGUUGCAGCAGGAAGCAUUCUUUAUGUACCUUCACAGAGAAUUUGGGAUUGAGCUGGUGAAGAGAUGAAAAAUCCUGGCUGCAUUCAAGCACCUGAUGUAUUUGUUCCUAAAGCCCAUUUGCAUUAUCCCUGGGUUUUGUGAGACACCACCAUCUUUAUAAUAAAUUCUUUUUGCUUAA